UGCCUGAGUAUAAGCCCAUGACCACGUCCCAGUUGUUAGAUCUGUUAAACCUGUACAGUCUCUGUUCCUGUUAACCCUAAUAUCUGUAAUUCUGCAUCCAUCAGAAGCAGUGCCAUUGCUCCUGGUAAUCCUAUUUGAUUGCUCUUGUAUUUGAUUGCUGCAGAUUAGAAGAUAAUGCUGAGUACAGGCAGUAGAAAAGUGAAAUGCUGAAAUAUUUCAGGAGCUACUGGCAAAUCUUUCUUCUUCCUGAAAGAAAAGCAAAAGCAAGCUGGAAAUCAAAACAAGUCCGCAAUCCAAAAAGCUACAGUCAGGUCCAAAAUCCAUUGAAGUUUCUGAAUGACUCACAUUGACUCCAACGGGCUUUGAAAGAGGGAAUCAUCCAAGCUUUAACUGAAGGUACUGAGAGAUGGACUGGUUCCUUGAUAGCUUUUGGGGAUGUUGACCUGAUCCAGGGGAUAUCCUGCUUGAUUAGCCACUAUGCUAAGGUUUAGUGCCAUUGCUGAUACAAGUACACAAGAUCAAAGAGCUCCUGUGAACACAAAGAAGACCAAGAAAUACUGGAAAAAAAGUAAAAAAGGAGCAUAAAUUUAACUGGAGUUCAUACUACAAGAGAAUCACGUUCAACUGGAAGAGAGAUGGUGGAAGUCAGAAGAGAAUUAGUUUCACCAUUUUCCAUGAAAACAAGCUGAAAGUUUGAUGUCUGAAUUUCUGUUGCAGAAGGAAUUCUUUCUGGUAGGUACUUGUAUAAUUUUUUCCUCUUUGAAACAUGAGAGUCUAUAAAAAACAGCUUUAAAAAAAAUUACCUUAGUGCAUCCAAUAGUUUUUGUUUUGUUUUGUUUUCAUAUUCUGCUGUUAUUCCAACAAAGAUUAACUAGCUCAUUAUCCCACAUACGAUUGCUUUGAAGACUUUUGCACUGUAGCAUCUGUGGAAUAAGUAGAUGUUGCCAUGGAAGGCUGUGAAUGGAGAAGUUUGUCAGUACAUGAAAGCUAUGCAUGCAUAUUCUUCAGGAAUCAGUUUAUCAGCAGGAGUAAAAUAAGGACUCAAAUGGAAAGAAAGGGGAAGCAAAGAGAAUUUAUUUUAAUUUGUUAGAUAUUCAAAAACCAUUGGACUAAAAUUAUUCACCUCACUUUGGCCUGAAAUCUCUCAGUGGAAUUACUCAUGCGGAAGCAAAACAUUUACCAUUGGACUGUCUAGUAAAAUGAUGUAGCUAUCGAGAAAGAACCUUCAGUAGCCUCAUCGUAGUUAUGCAACCUUGUUCCCUAUCAGAGCAUUUGCUUUCAGAUUUUUUACAGUUGGUUCAACCAUACGCAUUCAUUAACCCUCUCUCAUUUGUGCAACAUUUUAGAUGCUGAGUUAUGUUUUUCAGAUCUUCAACACUGAAUGGGAUUUCAGAAUUUUCUUCCCCGAUCAAGUUCUUCUUGUCAGGUUUCUGGUUAGUAUGGCUUGUUCUCAGGUAGCGUCAGCCUUUCUCUGAGAUUUGUGUUACUGUCUCAGUUGGGUUAUGGCAAGUCAAGAAAAGAAUGCAAACAAAGUGCACCUUGACUUGAUCCCUCUUCAUCUUUUAUAAAGGGAGGCAAUGAGGUUUUUGUGAGGGCUAUUCAUCAUUCCUCUGGUGGCCCAACCACUUCACUUAGUUUAUGAAUUGCUGCCAACAAAACUAUAUCAGUGCAACCUGCAGUGUUGCUCUUGCGUUGACAGUGACACACCAUUCACAGUGGCAACAGCAAUAUACAUUGCAAGGCAUGCAUUGACUUGACAAACCUGAUGAUGCUAAGACAUUACCAGUUGGUGAAGAUUUUAAAU